rnacentral:rRNA from 1 species
ACGGGGUGCAGCAGGCGCGAAAACUUCGCAAUGCGCGAAAGCGUGACGAGGUCACUCCGAGUGCCGUCCGCUGAGGAUGGCUUUUGCCCGGUUUAACUAGCCAGGUGAAUAAGGGGAGGGCAAGUCUAGUGUCAGCCGCCGCGGUAAUACCAGCUCCCCGAGUGGUUGGGACGAUUAUUGGGUCUGAAGCGUCCGUAGCCGGCCGAAAAAGUUCCCCGUUAAAUCUGGCGAUCCAAUCGUUGGGCUGCGGGGAAUACUCUUCGGCUUGGGGGCGAGGGAGGUCGGCGGUAGUCCUGGGGUAGGGGCGAAAUCCUAUAAUCCCAGGAGGACCACCAGUGGCGAAGGCGGCCGACUAAAACGCGCCCGACGGUGAGGGACGAAAGCUGGGGGAGCGAACGGGAUUAGAUACCCCGGUAGUCCCAGCUGUAAACGAUGCAGGCUAGGUGUUGGGACGGCUACGAGCUGUCCCAGUGCCGCAGGGAAGCCAUUAAGCCUGCCACCUGGGAAGUACGGCCGCAAGGCUGAAACUUAAAGGAAUUGGCGGGGGAGCAC